CGCUGUAGCAGGGCAUUACGCCCACGGAGCUAUGACCUAAUGUGAAUGCAUUACGAAUACAAACUUUAUAUUCAUUAUAUCCGUAUGGGAAAAGUGCUGAGUAUAACAGCCUUGACGUAAUUCGAAGGUAUCCAAGGAGCAUUUCGCUUGCAUGGCCAGGUAUCCACACACAUAGAUCACGUAGGAAGAAGGAGCUAGGUAAAAUGUGUACGCGUCCCCAAAUGGUUUACAUGACUCUCAUAUAGGCACAUGGAAACCCUAGCAAAAGUAUAAUUAAGCAACACAUUCACAUCAUGAUUAUCUUCGCAAAACACUACUAAUACACUGCAUGUGAUGGACCAUAACUGCAUCGAUAUAAGACUGCGUAGGUUCUUCAGAGACGGAUGCGCGCCCCCAACAAAUGUCACCCAAAUCAACUUGAUCCUUUCGAAAAGACACACACAGCGUUGAUCACUUGGCAAGUUCCGAGCGUACGGUGAAGCGUUGAGUCGUAACUCAUUCACACCGGUACCAGCUGGUAACUCCAGUUGGAACACUAGCCCAUAAAAGACCCUUCGGAGCUAACUCUGAGAAAUCGACGAUGAACCAGCACUUCCAUCAGGAAAAACAACCACGACAGAGGUUAAAAGAAGUAUUGCGUUGUUCCAUUCCUGAGUACUCGCAGUUUUCGCCGUUUAGCCGUUUACUUAUAACUGCAUAUAGAAAAGUUCCUAUGAUUGCGCCGGGGACACGGGAAACACAAUAGCCAUAAACAUAACACUUGUAGGUCUGCACCAGGUGCCCAGAGGACUGAACUACGGAACAUUUUCUUGGCUGAAUCACCAGUUACGUUUCACCUUUGGCGGCAAACCGCUUUUCUACCGCAUCGAUAUCAGUAAGAGACUAUGACGACCGUGCUCAUUAUUGGCCAACGAUCGCUACGAUUGCCUGAUCUCUAGACUGCGUAGACGCUAGGACAGGUGAAACGAUUCGCGUCUUGUGGCGUUUCACCGACGGUAAGCGGCGGCAACGAAUAGACAAGCAAACGUCGUUCAUGUCCAUAGGCCGUGCGCGACUCUCAGUGGGCAAGAGUGUUGAACUGCUCCUGUAGCCGCUGAUUCUGCUACCGUUAGUGUAGUAGUGAGCCACAACGGCAAACGCUGUUUGAAGGAAGGAACUGUCAUGCCGCUCACGGAGAAGGGACUGCGACAAUGCAACGUACCGUGAGUACACAGCAGCAGCGUCUGUCAGCGGAACACGAACGAACGAGCAGUAUUCUACUGAAAAGUGGCGGUCGACGAUGCAAAAAAAACAGUGUUAUAAGUGUCUCUGCGUGCGCUGUGGCCACAAUGCAAUUUUCUAUAGUAACAACAACGAUGAUGACGACGAAGAUGACAACCCCUUAACAUCAGCAAGAUUAGCAACAAUAACAAUGGCGUAAAAAGCGUGCGAUAUUUAACGUUAAAAAGAACAAAGAAGAACCUGGUUUUUUUUUUUCUAGGCAGAGUAGGUUGAAAAGACAUAUCUUGUUUCUCUUGCUGAAGAAGCAAGUAGAUGGAUGUAUGUUGGACUAUAGUUCAGCCGGUGUCGGAAACCGGGUAGACAAGGGAUAGGAAACGAACGUUUAGAAAUCACUGAGUUGCGCAUUUAGUGUUUGUUCGUGUACUCUUGCCUCAUGUUUCGCGACACUGCCCUUCUUUUAUAUAUACGAUUCGACCGCUACUGGAAAGCUAUUGACUGAAACUGCUUUUUCUAACAGCACUAAUCGGGCGGCCCUGUUAUACUGUGAACUGCUGGAUAUCUCGUGCCGCUUUUGAGAGUCAUCUGGCAAUUUUUCCAUGAAAACUAAGCCCAGUUGAAGAGAUAACGUCAACUUACCAAACGUGCCUAUGUAUACUGACAAAAACACGUAAAAGGCAUUUUCGUUUUAACAAAUACUCUCUGCAGAGUAGCCCGUUUUUCACUGCUCGGAUACGCGCUCCCGCAGCAGCUAUCAAAAAAAGGUACAGAAGUAACUUAAGCUACUAAAAAAUGGCGACAAGUUUCGAAAAUAAUAAGACUCCAAAUAUAGACGGAAGCUUCCCCGUCUGUUUCUCCUCUGCCUUCCACCGUACGCGUGAAAAAUGCGUCUCAACGUCUCAACAUUUGCAGCUAAAGUCCCCGGAGGGGACCCUGUCGAGAUGCGGAUUUCGUUGCUGUCGUGUGUGCACGUUUCUGCCGCUGGACAAGCCGAUCAUCAACCUGCAUAUAUAACAGGAGCGCGUGGACAGGGCCGCCCUGUUGGCCUACGUCAGAUAAACGCACAUGGAUCGAAACUAGGCCCCAUGGCAGAAUGGACAAGAAUUACUAGCGUUGAUAAAAUAUCAAACGUAUCAUGUGUGUUUUUUUUUAUAUAUUUUUUUGAGCUAAUAGCUAUUUUAUCCAGUGUGGAUAUACGAGUCUUCCGAUUUAAUCAAUAGUAUAAAUAUAUAUAAUUUUCAAGGCGGCCAAAAUACUGUUACGUGUGUAAUAAGAAUAAUGGCAACACGAGUGAUCUAGCUAUUACGAGUAUUCAAAAUUUUUAUAGAUAACCGCUCGUUUUGGUUAAGGGUAAUUCCUAUGGACUGCUAUCUGGAAUCAUUUGAAUAAGAAUAUAUGACCAGAAAGGCACCUUAUUUUGGUCAGUCUGAGUCGAUGCAUCCAGUCGCGCAAACAGCGAGUUAUAGUAAGGCCGUUACUAACUACCCUGUUAAGGCCGUUACUACCGCUCAUUGGAAAAUAUCCGUCUGAUAUUGUUACUGCUAUGGCCUGCAUUAAUACUAUUGUCUGAUUAUGCCAUAUUGCUCGCCGUUCUAUUAUGUGGAAUGCUGAACAGCUUGCUCAGUCGUUUGGUUUAUGUCCUGACUAAGCAAUGGUAAGACAGGGUCACUGGGGCCCGCUUUAAUUCACGUUUUGCUAAAUCAGCAAACGGUACAAAAGGAGCCUUGUGAGGUCUUACAAGAGCAAACGAUACUUACCGACGGCCUUCGAGAUUCAGGCAAUACAGAAAAUUUCACUUGUUUUUUUACUUCUACCUUCCCCUCUUCAAUGAGGACCAUAUUAGCCGCUAACAAGGUUAAAUAGGUCAUAGGUGCUUUUACCUCAACGUUGUCGCAAUCAAUGAGUGAACAUUUCAAUGAACAGUUAGUAAAUCUUCUUCUUACUAUGCCCCGCUCGAAUCCUAUUUGCCCUGUUGAUAGGUCAGUAGAAUUCCUUACGUAUUAGAAUUAGUCAAUAUUUACAAAGCAAAUUCAAUAUUUUGGUCGAGCGCGAAACAAAGCCCAGGGCUAUAAAAUGGUAAAGACGCUUUGCAGCUAACAAGAACCUGCGGUUGAUCAUAAAGGUGAACUAUAGCAUUGUGAUCUAAUAACGGUGAAUUAUAUGUAUAAUUUUUUGUUCAUUUUUAAGAAGUUGUAAUGUUAAAGUGUGUGAACGGUUCUAUGCGAUUGUACUUGGUACCAAAAUUUCGAAAUCGUCGACGGUACUGAUUCCAUCUUUUCAGAUUUGA